CUCUCCACCCUUUACCCUAUGGAACAGGUUGUCCUUGUCCCCUCUGGGCUUGUGGCAUCCCACACCCCGCUGGAGCCCCGUUCCUCUUGCAAAAGCUAUGUUAUCCCACCAGAACAGGACACAGCCAGAAACCCUGGGCUGCUGCGUAGCAUGGUUCCUCCCUUCUUUCUGGGGAUGUGGGAGAGAAAUCGAGGUGUCUUCUCCUCACGCAGGAACUAGGAACAUCCUCAUGGAGCAGAGGACCCCAGGGUAAAAAGAACAAGCUCAGUGGGGAAGACUGCCCUGACAUCAGCCAUGGCCAAGCAGUGCGUGUGCAGAAGAGAAGGCAGUUGUAGCUGGGGAGGUGAGGACCCCUCUGGGAGAGGAGACGAGAGCAGCCCCUUCCCAUGAUGUGGCCCCCAGAGUUCCCAGGACCCCUGACUGUGACAAUCCUCAAUGGUUGCUCCUGCUGGAGGAGGGAGAAACCCCAGGGAGCAUUUUGGGCACAGUCAGACCAGAACAUUUCUCGUCACUGAAUCUCCCCUUGUUCCCCCAGCAGAGUCAUUUCCAGCAGCUCUGUUCUUUCGGGGCUGGGAGGUGCUUUUCUGACUCUCUCUCCCGCAGCAAACAGGAGGGUCGGUCUCAGCAUGCACCGCGGGUAUCUCAUCCUCACUGCCUUCCUGGGGCAACUGCUGGAAACCAUGGGACAGGUGUCCGUCACCCAGCAAGAAGGACAAGUCACCGUGGAGCAGGGAAACACCUUCCAGACCAAUUGCACAUACAAGACCUCCAACUUCUUUAGUGCGUUGCUCUGGUACCAGCAGAAGAAGGGACAAGCCCCUCAGCUGAUUUCUUAUCAAGCAGGAAAGGGCACCAAGCAGAAGGACCGUUUCACCACGGAGCUGAACACUGACGAGAAACACAGUGUUCUGCGGCUGAAGGAAGUUGAGCUCUCUGACAGCGCCUUGUACCUCUGUGCUGUGAGUGACACCCUGGUGCAGUGAGCUGCCCUGGCUGAGCAACAACCCCGGAUGGGGAGGGGAUGUGUCUGUGCAAGGCAGAGCUCUGGGAUGGGGCCCUCAGCUCUCCCCUGGCUGCACUGCUUCCCCUGUGCACUCCAAGAUCUGACAGCCAGAUCCUCUUUCCCAAAGGGGCUGGUGUCUGUGGCUGUGCAGAGAGGGCUGACCCCAACUGACUGACCUGGACCACAGGGCUCUACUUUCCUCUCUUCCCGGUCUGACAGAAUAGGGCAGAGCCUGCUGGGAAAUAAGACUCCCCUGGGGGAUUGCUCUCAGCCCCUCAGCCCCAGCGUGAGUAAAUUCCUGCCAGCCCAUGAUAAAGCAGCUUGCUUUGAGCCCUGGCCAGCCCAGCCCAGAGACCCCUAGAAGUAGUCCUGACAGAGAUUUGCAGGGUUCUUCUCUCUCUUCAAUGAGUCAGUCAAUAAACUGGAGUUGCAUCCCAGCCACCAGGUUUUCUCCAGACCUUCAGCCAGUUCAUGUCCAAAGCCUGUGCCUAAGGGACAGAACAAAUAGAGCAGCCCUUAGUGCCAAAGGCCCAAGAGCUCUCCAUGUUCAUCACAGUAAGCAAUCAGAGCAAGAGAUAAAUGAAGACCUACAGCCCACUGAGUUCGUUGACGUCUCCUCAGGGGCGCUGGAGGCAUGUGUGAUCAUUCUCAGCCCCUGCACAGGGAGCAGUGUCAUAAUGACCAGCUCCUGCGGCAGUGGGGCAUUGCAUGUCUGGGACAAGCUGGGUGUCCUGCAGGCUGCAAAUGCCGAGACCUGGCAGGAGAAACGAGGCUGUGCUGAUGAAGCUUCCUCUGUCUCACAAAGCAUGCUGAAUGUGGUGUUUUGAUGUCCUCAGACUUGAGGAAACUCUUUUGUCUGCUUGCAAGAGCAAGAAGCAAAGCAACCCGGAGAAAGAAAAGCUUGGCCCAG